rnacentral:misc_RNA from 1 species
AACGCACCUUGCGCCCUUUGGUAUUCCGAAGGGCAUGCCUGUUUGAGUGUCAUUAAAUUAUCAACCUUGUUCGCUUUUACGAGCUUGAGCGAGGCUUGGAUGUGAGGGCUUGCUGGCUUCCUUCAGUGGAUGGUCUGCUCCCUUUAAAUGCAUUAGUGGGAUCUCUUGUGGACCGUCACUUGGUGUGAUAAUUAUCUAUGCCAUUUGACUGUGAAGCAAAAUUAUGGGAACCCUGCUUAUAACCGUCUCGCAAGGGACAAUUUAAUUGACUAUUUGACCUCAAAUCAGGUAGGACUACCCGCUGAACUUAA